UACGUAGGGUGCAAGCGUUAAUCGGAAUUACUGGGCGUAAAGCGUGCGCAGGCGGUUCGCUUAAGACAGAUGUGAAAUCCCCGGGCUUAACCUGGGAACUGCAUUUGUGACUGGCGGGCUAGAGUAUGGCAGAGGGGGGGUAGGAAUUCCACGUGUAGCAGUGAAAAUGCGUAGAGAUGUGGAGGAAUACCGAUGGCGAAGGGCAGCCCC
rnacentral:rRNA from 1 species